rnacentral:tRNA from 1 species
GCGCCUGUAGCUCAGCUUGGAUAGAGCGAAGCACUCCUAAUGCUUAGGCCGGGAGUUCAAAUCUUCCCAGGCGCG